CACUCUUGCAUAGCUGGUUGACUGCUUUCACUGGUGUUAUGUGUGGCGUUGUACGGGCAUACGCCAGGACUAGUCUACGGUGAAUAUUCGAUGAAAGCUGACCAGUGGCAACGGCUGCCACCGCACGACGCCAGUUUGACGCAAAAGGCGCAUAAGCAAACCGGUAUUAAUAUUUUUAUAGCCCAGAUAAGGGAAUAAAUAUAAAGCAAAAUAAGUUUCAAAGUUGAAUUGAAAGCAAACAUGUGGUAAUAAUUUGCUUGCUAAUUUGUUUACUAGCGGCCAAGUGAAGUUGAAGAAUUGUAAAUAAAUUUAUAUGAGCAAUUUAGUGUGCUAGCAAACCAACAAGGAGUAGAAAUACGCAAAACAAAAAAAAAAUAAAGUUAAAAAUAAAAUAAAAAUCUAAUGCACGUGCAAAUACUUGUCAGGAUUACGCUGUAGUAGUGUAUGUGCGCGCGCGUGUGCAGGUGUAUGUGUUUGUAUGCUUGCCCAUAAUAUUUCGGGUCUAACUUGCGUGCGAGUGCGUUCUACUUGCUUGUUUGCGCUUGAAGCGGUGCAGUACGAAGCAAACACAUUUCACCUGUUUCAAGCGAAAAAUCACGUAAACGUCAGCGAUGGCAUGUGUCAACUUCAACUUGAAAUGAGGCAGUGAAAUUGGUAAAAAGCAGAAAGCGCACAAAAGUAUAAACCUAAAAAAUAUGAACACACAAAAAUGUUCUGUUUGCAAAAAACAUAAAAAAGGCAAGAAAUAACAAAAGUAAGAAAUGCUACUUGACACCUUUUUCGCGAGCAUAAAUCAAAUAGUACAUCCGUUUGCGUGUCACGCGUUGCACGAUUACAAAAUAGACCAGCAGAAGCAUACAUCUGCGGAGCUUUAGCAAAAAAAAAGUGUGCUACAAUUGUACAAUUCACAGUCACUUUUCCAUUUACAUUCCGAUUCAUAUUCGCAUUCGUAAUCGCAAUCGCAUAUUCGUGUUGCUGCCGUUCCGGUUGUUGCAACGCCAUGAAAUGCAUACAAAGAAAAUUUGCAUAUAUUAUUCAUAAACUCAAAUACUUGUGAGAGAAACAACAAUGACAACUAUUGCUACUAAAACAGCAAACACGGUGAGUGCAAUGCCAGCGAACGAAAAUAAAAAAAGAGAAAAGUUAAAAAAAAAAUAUUAAAAAAGGAAACAAAUAAAUAGAAAGGCGAAUUUCAAGUGUCGCGCCCGUAAGCAGUUGUUUUCAUUGCAUACUUUACUGAGUCCGGUCUGCUUGUUGCCUUUCACAUAACUACUAUACACACACAUACAUGAGUGCAUACCUACACCUUUGUAGAGAAAAACGUGGCUUGUUGUUAACCUAAAUAUUCACUGCACGAGAAUAAAAAGUAUAAAAAAUAGUAAUAAUAGCAGAAAUUCAAAAAGCGGUGCAGUUGAAAGUGUCAUUGCCAUUUGUGUUGUUAGGUGGUGCAAAAAAAGAAAUAUAGAAUUUAUAUGAAAAUAAAUAUUCAAAACUCAGAAAAGAGGAAACAAGAGGUAUAUACAUAUGUGUUUGUAUAAAUAUAUAAAAGAAUACAUUUCUACGUAAGUUGUAUGCGAAUUUCACAUUAAAUUGAGUUUAAACAAAAAAAAAAAAAAA